rnacentral:misc_RNA from 1 species
AACGCAUCUUGCGCUCCUUGGUAUUCCGAGGAGCAUGCCUGUUUGAGUGUCGUGAAACCCUCUCGGACCCGCCCCUUUUGCCGGGGUGGGUUUGGAUUUGGACGCCUGCGGGUCGCCGCUCGUCCUUAAAUGCAUUAGCUGGUCCCUUUGUGGUCGGUCCGAACGACGGUGUGAUAACAAAACGCUUAGUGCGCCGUUCGUCGCCCGGCCUGGGUCGCUUAGAGCCGUCCUCCUCGGACAACUUUCAUGUCAUCUGACCUCAAAUCAGGUAGGACUACCCGCCGAACUUAA